UUUGUUCGUUCGGCUCGCGUUG
rnacentral:miRNA from 1 species